rnacentral:rRNA from 1 species
UGAAUACGAGACGCUAAGGCGUCGAAGUAGUGUAUGUCAUACUUCCAAGAAAAGCUUGCACUGUCAUAGAUAAAAAACGCCUGUACCAUAACCGACACAGGUGGGUAGGUAGAGUAUACUAAGGGGCGCGAGAUAACUCUCUCUAAGGAACUCGGCAAAAUAACUCCGUAACUUCGGGAGAAGGAGUGCCUUAUUUAUAAGGCUGCAAUAACAAGAUCCAAGCAACUGUUUAUCAAAAACACAGGUCUCCGCUAAGUCGUAAGACGAUGUAUGGGGGCUGACGCCUGCCCAGUGCCAGAAGGUUAAAGAAGUUGGUUAGCUUUUGCGAAGCUGAUAACUGAAGCCCUGGUGAACGGCGGCCGUAACGAUAACGGUCCUAAGGUAGCGAAAUUCCUUGUCGGGUAAGUUCCGACCCGCACGAAAGGCGUAAUGAUUUGGAUACUGUCUCGGAGAGGGGCUCGGUGAAAUAGACUUGUCUGUGAAGAUGCGGACUACCUGCACCAGGACAGAAAGACCCUAUGAAGCUUUACUGUAACUUGAAAUUGAAAUUGGACUUUAUUCGCGCAGCAUAGGUGGGAGGCGUUGAUUAUAAUCUCGUGGGAUUAUUGGAGCCAUCAGUGAGAUACCACUCUUGUAAUGUUAGAUUUCUAACUUUGAAUCAUUAUCUGGUCAAAGAACAGUUUCAGGCGGGCAGUUUGACUGGGGCGGUCGCCUCCUAAACGGUAACGGAGGCGUACAAAGGUUUCCUCUGAACGGUUAGAAAUCGUAUCUAGAGUGUAAAGGCAUAAGGAAGCUUGACUGUGAGACCUACAAGUCGAGCAGGGACGAAAGUCGGUCUUAGUGAUCUGACGGUACUGAGUGGAAAGGCCGUCACUCAACGGAUAAAAGUUACUCUAAGGAUAACAGGCUGAUCUCCCCCAAGAGUUCACAUCGACGGGGAGGUUUGGCACCUUGAUGUCGGCUCAUCGCAUCCUGGGGCGGUAGUACGUCCCAAGGGUUGGGCUGUUCGCCCAUGAAAGCGGUACGCGAGCUGGGUUCAGAACGUCGUGAGACAGUUCGGUCCAUAUCCGGUGUAGGCGUUAGAAUAUUGAGAGGAGCCUUCUUUAGUACGAGAGGACCGAGAAGGACAUACCUCUGGUGUACCAGUUAUCGUGCCAACGGUAAACGCUGGGUAGCUAUGUAUGGAGUGGAUAACCGCUGAAAGCAUCUAAGUGGGAAGCCCACCUCAAGAUAAG